UUUUCUUAAUAUAAUAUGUAUAUUUGACUUCCAAUCAAAAAGCCUAGAAUUCUCUAGAGAAAAUA
rnacentral:tRNA from 1 species